rnacentral:rRNA from 2 species
ACGGGUGAGUAACACGUGAGUAACCUGCCCCAGACUCUGGAAUAACCCCGGGAAACCGGAGCUAAUACCGGAUACGAGACGAAGCCGCAUGGCUAUCGUCUGGAAAGUUUUUCGGUCUGGGAUGGACUCGCGGCCUAUCAGCUUGUUGGUGAGGUAAUGGCUCACCAAGGCGACGACGGGUAGCCGGCCUGAGAGGGCGACCGGCCACACUGGGACUGAGACACGGCCCAGACUCCUACGGGAGGCAGCAGUGGGGAAUAUUGCACAAUGGGCGAAAGCCUGAUGCAGCGACGCCGCGUGAGGGAUGACGGCCUUCGGGUUGUAAACCUCUUUCAGCAGGGAAGAAGCGAAAGUGACGGUACCUGCAGAAGAAGCACCGGCUAACUACGUGCCAGCAGCCGCGGUAAUACGUAGGGUGCGAGCGUUGUCCGGAAUUAUUGGGCGUAAAGAGCUUGUAGGCGGUUUGUCGCGUCUGCCGUGAAAAUCCGAGGCUCAACCUCGGACUUGCGGUGGGUACGGGCAGACUAGAGUGUGGUAGGGGAGACUGGAAUUCCUGGUGUAGCGGUGAAAUGCGCAGA